rnacentral:rRNA from 1 species
GAUGAACGCUGGCGGCGUGCCUAAUACAUGCAAGUCGAGCGAACGGACGAGAAGCUUGCUUUUCUGAUGUUAUCGGCGGACGGGUGAGUAACACGUGGAUAACCUACCUAUAAGACUGGGAUAACAUCGGGAAACCGGAGCUAAUACCGGAUAAUAUUUUGAACCGCAUGGUUCAAACGUGAAAGUCGGUCUUGCUGUCACUUAUAGAUGGAUCCGCGCUGCAUUAGCUAGUUGGUAAGGUAACGGCUUACCAAGGCAACGAUGCAUAGCCGACCUGAGAGGGAGAUCGGCCACACGGGAACUGAGAAACGGUCCAGACACUUGCAGGAGGCCGCAGCAGGGAAUCUUCCGCGAGGGGCGAAAGCCUGACAGUGCAACGCCGCGGGAGUGAUGAAGGUCCUCGGAUCGUAAAGCGAUGAUAUUAGGGAAGAACAUAUGUGUAAGUACCUGUGAACAUCUUGACGGUACCGAGUGAAAAAGCCACGGCUAACUACGUG